AACUGAUUCUCCUCCUCCGAGCUGCCUGAAGAAAAAUCUCAGAAUGGAAAAACAGUCACAAUAGAGUUAAGUUUGAAACUACUGUAUUAGAAGUUGAUCUGUUGCAAUGUCCAGGAUGUGCAAUGGCAGAAAGGGAAAUAAGUGAGUAAAACCACAAGAACCACCUCCCCCCUAGAAACAAGGUUAAAAACAUGUUUUUUGGAGAACUUUAAUUUUCAGCUAGGUGCUGGCCGAUGUGGUAUUAGCAGUCUCAUCUGAGAUUAUAAAACCAUUCAAUUAGCAAUCCCCGAAAAAAAGUGAUGAGGAGUGGCAUAUUGUUUAUGAUAUCUUACCUUGUUAACAUUACAGCUAGCAGUGGGCCAGAGCUCUUGGUUUUGCAAUACCCCGAAGAUGCCAGUGUGCUCCUUAACUCCACUGUGUGGAUGCUUUGUGUCUUUGAAUACCCCAAGGAGGAGAAUGAGGAGCCAGUUGUGUACUGGAGGAAGGGCCCCAGCUGUGACAACCAGCAGAGUCUUCGGUCAAGUUCAGGAGCAGGCAGGCCACACAUACACAUUAUCAAGGACAUAUUCAGGGGAUUCUCUAUCUUAAAACUGAGCAGUGUUGACAAGAAUGACAGCAGCUCAUAUUUCUGUGAUGUGAUACUAACCCAGAAAACCCACGGCAAAUGUGGAAAAGGAACCAAGCUGACAGUGCACGCCUCGAUUUAUAUAAACAAUUCCUGUAAUCCUGAAGGGGACAGUGACCUCAGUGACUGAGAUUUCAUAUGCAAAGACUGUAUAAGAUCAGAACCGACUUGGUGGUGUUGGUUCCUUCUUCUUGGAUACACUCUCUUUGUCACCACAGUUAUCAUAGCUUUUGGUAUUCAUCAGUGCUGUAAAAAGUGCAAGAAUGAUUCAAGAAAUACAGAUAGCAGCACUACCCUGCCAAGUGAAUGGAUUUAUGAUAAGCCAUCCAAACCUGUUAAUAAUGGGUCUAACCAAGAAUAUGAAGAUAUGUCACUAAUAAGAACUUUCAGUCACAUUGAAAGGAAAGUGAUAUGAAAAACAAG
ensembl:lncRNA